rnacentral:rRNA from 1 species
AUUGAACGCUGGCGGCAUGCCUUACACAUGCAAGUCGAACGGCAGCACGGGUGCUUGCACCUGGUGGCGAGUGGCGAACGGGUGAGUAAUACAUCGGAACAUGUCCUGUAGUGGGGGAUAGCCCGGCGAAAGCCGGAUUAAUACUGCAUACGAUCUACGGAUGAAAGCGGGGGACCUUCGGGCCUCGCGCUAUAGGGUUGGCCGAUGGCUGAUUAGCUAGUUGGUGGGGUAAAGGCCUACCAAGGCGACGAUCAGUAGCUGGUCUGAGAGGACGACCAGCCACACUGGGACUGAGACACGGCCCAGACUCCUACGGGAGGCAGCAGUGGGGAAUUUUGGACAAUGGGCGAAAGCCUGAUCCAGCAAUGCCGCGUGUGUGAAGAAGGCCUUCGGGUUGCAAAGCACUUUUGUCCGGAAAGAAAUCCUUGGCCCUAAUACGGUCGGGGGAUGACGGUACCGGAAGAAUAAGCACCGGCUAACUACGUG